CCUUGCGCUAUCAGAUGAGCCUAGGUCGGAUUAGCUAGUUGGUGAGGUAAUGGCUCACCAAGGCGACGAUCCGUAACUGGCCUGAGAGGAUGAUCAGUCACACUGGAACUGAGACACGGUCCAGACUCCUACGGGAGGCAGCAGUGGGGAAUAUUGGACAAUGGGCGAAAGUCCUGAUCCAGCCAUGCCGCGUGUGUGAAGAAGGUCUUCGGAUUGUAAAGCACUUUAAGCUUGGGAGGAAGGGCA
rnacentral:rRNA from 1 species